GGCAAUAAAAAAUGCUCCUGGCUGUAUUCGUCCAUUGGUUUCUCGAAUUUUGCCACAUAUUGGGCCAAUCUUAAAUAAACCACACCAACAGCCUGAUGGACUUGUAGCUGGAUCCUUGGAUCUGGUAACUAUGCUAUUAAAGAAUGCUCCAAAUGACGUAAUAAAAGCUGUAUAUGAUGUUUGUUUUGAUGCUGUUAUACG
rnacentral:misc_RNA from 1 species